rnacentral:rRNA from 1 species
CAGCAGCCACGGUAAUACGUAGGUGGCGAGCGUUGUCCGGAAUUAUUGGGCGUAAAGGGAGCGCAGGCGGACAUAUAAGUCCAUCUUAAAAGUGCGGGGCUCAACCCCGUGAGGGGAUGGAAACUGUAUGCCUUGAGUGUAGGAGAGGAAAGCGGAAUUCCCAGUGUAGCGGUGAAGUGCGUAGAUAUUGGGAGGAACACCAGUGGCGAAGGCGGCUUUCUGGACUGCAACUGACGCUGAGGCUCGAAAGCCAGGGGAGCGAACGGGAUUAGAUACCCCCGUAGUCCCUGUCUCUUAUACA